GACGAACGCUGGCGGCGUGCUUAACACAUGCAAGUCGAACGAUGAACCGGUUUCGGCCGGGGAUUAGUGGCGAACGGGUGAGUAACACGUGGGCAAUCUGCCCUGCACUCUGGGAUAAGCCCGGGAAACUGGGUCUAAUACCGGAUACGACACUCCGAGGCAUCUUGGGGUGUGGAAAGUUCCGGCGGUGCAGGAUGAGCCCGCGGCCUAUCAGCUUGUUGGUGGGGUAAUGGCCUACCAAGGCGACGACGGGUAGCCGGCCUGAGAGGGUGACCGGCCACACUGGGACUGAGACACGGCCCAGACUCCUACGGGAGGCAGCAGUGGGGAAUAGUGCACAAUGGGCGAAAGCCUGAUGCAGCGACGCCGCGUGAGGGAUGACGGCCUUCGGGUUGUAAACCUCUUUCAGCAGGGAAGAAGCGAAAGUGACGGUACCUGCAGAAGAAGCACCGGCUAACUACGUG
rnacentral:rRNA from 1 species